rnacentral:rRNA from 1 species
UACGGGGGGGGCAAGCGUUGUUCGGAAUUACUGGGCGUAAAGGGCUCGUAGGUGGCCAACUCAGUCAGACGUGAAAUCCCUCGGCUUAACCGGGGAACUGCGUCUGAUACUGGAUGGCUUGAGGUUGGGAGAGGGAUGCGGAAUUCCAGGUGUAGCGGUGAAAUGCGUAGAUAUCUGGAGGAACACCGGUGGCGAAGGCGGCAUCCUGGACCAAUUCUGACACUGAGGAGCGAAAGCCAGGGGAGCAAAGCGGG